UGGGGAAUAUUGCGCAAUGGGGGGAACCCUGACGCAGCCAUGCCGCGUGAAUGAAGAAGGCCUUAGGGUUGUAAAGUUCUUUCGGUAUCGAGGAAGGUUGAUGUGUUAAUAGCACAUCAAAUUGACGUUAAAUACAGAAGAAGCACCGGCUAACUCCGUGCCAGCAGCCGCGGUAAUACGGAGGGUGCGAGCGUUAAUCGGAAUAACUGGGCGUAAAGGGCACGCAGGCGGUUAUUUAAGUGAGGUGUGAAAGCCCCGGGCUUAACCUGGGAAUUGCAUUUCAGACUGGGUAACUAGAGUACUUUAGGGAGGGGUAGAAUUCCACGUGUAGCGGUGAAAUGCGUAGAGAUGUGGAGGAAUACCGAAGGCGAAGGCAGCCCCUUGGGAAUGUACUGACGCUCAUGUGCGAAAGCGUGGGGAGCAAACAGGAUUAGAUACCCUGGUAGUCCACGCUGUAAACGCUGUCGAUUUGGGGGUUGGGGUUUAACUUUGGCGCCCGUAGCUAACGUGAUAAAUCGACCGCCUGGGGAGUACGGCCGCAAGGUUA
rnacentral:rRNA from 1 species